UACAGAGGGUGCAAGCGUUAAUCGGAAUUACUGGGCGUAAAGCGUGCGCAGACGGUUGCGUAAGUCAGAUGUGAAAGCCCCGGGCUCAACCUGGGAAUUGCAUUUGAGACUGCGUAGCUAGGGUGCGGAAGAGGGAAGCGGAAUUUCCGGUGUAGCGGUGAAGUGCGUAGAUAUCGGGAAGAACACCCGUGGCGAAGGCGGCUCUCUGGGACGGUACUGACGCUGAGACGCGAAAGCGUGGGGAGCGAACAGG
rnacentral:rRNA from 1 species